UCGUGGGCGUUCCGUGUGUUGCGUUCCUACCUACCCGUCGGUAUCCGCUCGGCGAUGGGAAAACUGUUCAGCGAUUGAUGUGGACCGCGACUUUUUCGCCACUGUCGUCAUGCGCAGAACGUUGCGCUUCCGCGGAAGUGUUGCAUAAGUGUGUGUGCUUGCAGUGGUCGUGUGUGGCGACGUGACUGUGUGGGACUGCAUCUGCAUGAUUUCAUCUUGUUAGCGUCAAGAAACAUCGCUGAUUGUUCUUUGGAUUUAAACGCAAGCCGUAAGCAGUAUGAUCGCAGAACGCACGAAAAGUGUGCACCCAUCCAAGCUAAUUUGCCUGCUGAGUUGUGUCUCGUGUUGGGAGAGAAGGAAAGCCGGAGAGGUGCGCGUGUGGCAGCCAGGAAGAAAACGGCGAAACGACUGUCUCGGUGGAAGUGCUAAAGAGGCGAUGAGCUGCGUAUGUUGCCGGACGUGCGAAGCGCGGGCUGUCAGAGGAUGUCGUCAUUUCAGUUUCCACCGAAAAAGAAAGCAAAGCAAACGCCACCGAUUGCACGUUGCAUGCAAAUGUGAGUCGAAAGAGGUACAGAUAGGGGAUGAGGAGGGGGCGCACCAUCAAAUGUGUGCGUUGCCGUUGGAAAGGGGGCGUCUUGAUGAGAGUGCAGGUGAAUGCGUUUGAUCGUGAGCGCCGGUACUGAAGGAUGAUCCACGUUGAACACAAAUUCGACACUGAGUCGGAGCAAUAUCCAUGACGCACCGUGUCCUGACCGUGGAAGCGGCCCUCUGUGUUGCCUCUGCCCCCUCCCUCUCUCGCGGAUGGGGCGGACGCGCGCAGGGGGCUCACUGACAGUAGGCUGAGUGGAUGGUGGAGGCAAAUUCUGCUCGACGCGAGAAUGCAUGUGAGGUGCUGACUCAUCUGCUUUAUUUUUGCGCGUGUCUGGGCGCAUGAGUAGUAGUCGAGUAGACGAUGGCCGCCUUAUCUCUCUCUCUCUCUUUGGCGCUGCUUCUCGGUUUGGCCUCUGGGAG
rnacentral:misc_RNA from 1 species